rfam:Lupinus angustifolius cultivar Tanjil contig_20968, whole genome shotgun sequence.
AGGUGCUAUCAUACAAGCACUAAUGCACUGGAUCCCAUCAGAACUCCACAGUGAAGCGCGCUUGGGCGAGACUAGUACUAGGAUAGUUGACCUCUUGGGAAGUCCUCGUGUUGCACCUC